rnacentral:rRNA from 1 species
AAAUUGAAGAGUUUGAUCAUGGCUCAGAUUGAACGCUGGCGGCAGGCCUAACACAUGCAAGUCGAGCGGAAACGAGUUAUCUGAACCUUCGGGGGACGAUAGCGGCGUCGAGCGGCGGACGGGUGAGUAAUGCCUAGGAAAUUGCCCUGAUGUGGGGGAUAACCAUUGGAAACGAUGGCUAAUACCGCAUGAUGCCUACGGGCCAAAGAGGGGGACCUUCGG